rnacentral:rRNA from 1 species
AUGGACUCCAUGGAAUCAUGCGUCCCUCCUGGGUUCAGGUUCCACCCCACCGACGAGGAGCUCGUCGGCUACUACCUCCGCAAGAAGGUGGCCUCCCAGAAGAUCGACCUCGACGUCAUCCGCGACAUCGAUCUCUACCGCAUCGAGCCAUGGGAUCUCACAGAGCACUGUGGCAUCGGGUACGAGGAGCAGAACGAGUGGUACUUCUUCAGCUUCAAGGACCGCAAGUACCCAACGGGGACGAGGACGAACAGGGCAACCAUGGCAGGGUUCUGGAAGGCGACGGGGAGGGACAAGGCGGUGCACGAGAGGAGCAGGCUCAUCGGCAUGAGGAAGACCCUCGUCUUCUACAAGGGCAGGGCGCCCAACGGACAGAAGACCGACUGGAUCAUGCACGAGUACCGCCUCGAGACUGACGAGAACGCACCACCGCAGGAAGAAGGAUGGGUGGUGUGCAGGGCGUUCAAGAAGAGGACGGCGUACCCGAACCGGGGCAUGAUGGAGAGAUGGGGCUCAAACUACUCCUACAACGAGGCCAAUGCCAUGUCCGGCGCGCCGUUCCCGGACCCGAACAUGGCGUCGACGUACGCGGCAGCGGCGCAGAUGGGCAGGGGCGCGAGCUUCAAGGAGGAGGCGGAGCAGCUGGACGGCGCCGCCGCGCUGCUGCGGUACACCUCCAGCCACCUCGUCGAGUUGCCGCAGCUCGAGAGCCCGUCCGCGCCGCUCCCGCGGAAGAAGGCCAGGGCGCCCGAGGAGGAGGAGGACGCCGCCUCCGGUGGCAGCAGGCGUCGGCCUCGCAAGCACGCGCACGCCGACAAUGCGGCCACCACGGACUGGAGGGCUCUGGACAAAUUCGUGGCGUCGCAGCUCAGCCCCGGCGGCGAGUGCGCCGCUCUGGAAGCAACGGCGGCGACCACGGCGGCUGCGGUUGCCGGCGCGAGCUCGCAGGCGCAGGCGCAGCUGGACCGCGACGAGGACGACAUGGCCGCAUUGCUGUUUCUCAACAGCGACGGGAGGGAUGAGAUGGAGAGGUGGACGGGGCUGCUCGGCUCGGCCGGCGCCGGCGUCGACAGCGACCUGGGGAUCUGCGUGUUUGAUAAAUGA